GUCAUUCGCUUGUCUCAAAGAUUUACCCAUGCAUGUCUAAGUUUAACAAUUUAAACUGGAAACUGCGAACGGCUCAUUAUAUCAGUUAUAGUCCAUUUGAUAGUCUUUUUUACAAGGAUACUUGUGGCAAAUCUAGAAAUAAUACUUGCAUCAAAAGGCGACUCUUUGGAAGCCUUGCAUUUGUUUGAUUUAAACCAAUACCUUUCGGGGUUACCAUGGUGAUUCAUAACAACUAAGCGAAUCGCAGAGCUUCGGCGGCGAUGAAUCAUUCGAGUUUCUGCCCCAUCAGGUGUCGAAGAUAGCGUAUUGUGCUAUCUUGCCAGUCACGGGUGACGGAGAAUCAGGGUUCGAUUCCGGAGAGGGAGCCUUAGAGACGGCUACCACAUCCAAGGAAGGCAGCAGGGGCGUAAAUUACUCAAUACCGACACGGUGAAGUAGUGACGAGAAAUAUCAUUAAGGAGCCCUUCGGGUUUUUUAAAUGAAAUGAGAGCAAUCUAAAAACCUCAUCGAGGAU
rnacentral:rRNA from 1 species